CCGCACGCGGCGGAGAACCGGCAGCUGGAACGCGGACACACCGCGCCCGCAGCACAGCACAGCACGGCACGGCACGGCACGGCCCGCAGAGAGCGGCCUCGCGCGGCGCGGACACCCCGAGCUCGGCACUGGGCCCGACCCAGGGGCUCUGCCGGCCGCGGCGCCGUCCCGGAACAGAGGGGCGGCCCCACGUCGUCGCGGCUUCCCCAGACCUGGGCAGCGGAGCGGAACGCGCUGCUGCGCAGAAUCAUCGCCGCGUGCCGGUGCUCUGCAGCGCGUGGGACGCGGCCCCCGCCGCUCGGGGUUGCGGGAGGACGAAGCUCCAGUCCCGCGCUAACGCAGGCUCCGAGACUCCAGAGAGCUCAAGGGAAACGCCACUGACCGGGCCCGGUCCCACCACCCUCCCUCCCUCUGCAUAUUCCAGCGCGUGAGGUUAAAUUCUUCCGUGGGAAUGCGCACAGAGGUCCUUGCUGCAGUCACCACUGAACACCGCUUCUCUCUUCACACCACAAAUACGUACCCAGUACUGUGAGUGAAGGAUGCAGCACUAUCUUCACGCAGAAAAAGGGAUUACAGGACUCCGUCCCUCUGUCUGCAGCACUGCUCUCAGGGGCUGCAGGACCAGCACUGGUACUUGGCCAACAGUGCUGCCCAGCCAGGGCCCAGCGGACUGCCGCAGGAAGGAGGAGAGGGAAACAAAAGGCACAAACACAAUGAAGGCCUCAAAAUGUCUGGAAAUGAGUUAAUUUCUCACAUAGCCCUGUCUCAGCAGUUUUCAGUUUUGGACCUCAUCGGAUUUUAUUUCCAUGCCUUUUUGUAAUUGCCUUCUGCCUGCAAUUUUGCUCUCAUUUCCUCCUGUUCCUUCAGCUUAGAACUGCUGUGUGCUCCUGCUCUGCAUGUCAGGUCUCCUGUGACACUCCCAUGCGGAGCACCCAUGACACAACUUUUGCACAAUGACCCACUGAAGCAGAAAGGCAAUAUUUAAAGAGAAAACACCAAGAACAUUUGAACAACAAAAUGAUGAUACUUCAAAGAGAUUGGAAAUUUUUAUCUAAUAGAAGCUAACAGGAAUGCUUUCCUACUUCUUAUAUACAAUAAAUAUAUUUAAGAAGCUUAAAAAAUAUAUUCCUUCUCAUCAUCUACAACUUAAACAUUUCUAGUGUACGAAUGCCACUGUAUCAGAAGAAACUGCUUUGAAGGAUGAUUUAUGUGAUCUCAGCUAGAGCACCUUCAGAGCCGCAUGCUUUUGUUUCCUUUCUGCUAACCUGUUCAUCCACUGUUAAGUGACUGGGUGUCUGCAUACCAAACAACAUGGCUGACCAUAUCCUCAGCGUUCCUUCUGAGAACUUACACAUCAGGUACAAUUUUUUCAAUACAACUCAAAUGUAGACACAGAAUUGCACCAUGAACCUCAAAGGGAGGGCUCCUUUUUGCAUGACAUUUAAAUGGCUAAAGCAUCAGUCCCUGCAUUGUGCAGACUUGCACAAAGUUAUCUUCCAAAUAUCUCUAGACUACAAUCAAAAUUACUGGAGUCAGAAAUGGCUCCCAGCACCUGGGGUGAGAGCACAUCCCAGUUGAGUUUGGGCUGUAUCAGGUAGAGAUGGAUCGUCCAGCACUAUGCUGCUCACCAGCACUCUCCUUAGAUCCUAGCUUCAAUGGGAAGGAAACCACCAGGAUCCCGUGCCGUACUCCAGCUACAUCGGAUCAAGGGACCAGGACCCUAUGCCAUGCCUGGUGGUUGGAGGAAGUUGCACACAGAGUUCAUGCAAAACUACUCUCCACAGUAUGUACUGGGAAAGCACACGUUGCUCUCAGGCAUGGCUGCACAGUUGUGCAAAAGACCAGGGGUGAUUUUAGGCCAGCAUAUUUGCCUUAUUAAGGAAAAAUGUUUGUAGCCUAUUUUUAACAUCAGCAGUUGGCCUGGAGGGUAGAGACAGAGGAGAGUUGGGCCAGGAAGGGUUAUGAGAAGGGUCAGCGUGGUUCUCUAUAUAGAACUCAAAGGGAGUGUUAGAAAAAGAUUAAACAGAGGUGUUUACUUUAUAACUGCCAUCUAAAAUUCAUAUCUGAAGAUGUGUACCUGAGCACUGAGAAUCUCAGCUGUUGUAUCACAGCAUGCUUUGCUUGCACUCUGCCCUGUCAUCACUAACUUGGAGGUUUCACAAUGCAGAAAUGUACAGAGGAAGUGCUCCCUCCCACAAUGUGAGCUCCUUUUCAGAAUGUUCACUCUUCCUAGAAACACACAGUACAUCGCCCAGCUACCAGGCCCUGAUUUUAUAACAGUCACAUAACACUGACAGCAAAAGGAACUGCUGGGACUGGAACACCAGAAACCUCCCCACGCUGGAGGAGCACACACCAGCGCUGUGGGCAUCCCACACCUGCAGCUGCAUCACUCCCCACCCUGACCUGGGUCAGCGCUCCUCGCUCUGCCGUCUGACUCUAUGCAGAAGCCUGCUGCUCUUCAGUUAAUUCUCAGCGCAGGACAUCGACACCUCUGUGAACCGCCUGUGUCCAGAAACCUGACACGUGCUUGUUGCUGGAAAUCAGGGUUGUUCUUCCACCCUGAUUUCCAGCAUUUCUGUGACAACACCCUCCUCCCAUGGCUGAAAUUCUUUUUUAUGUGUGCUUAAAGAUGCACUUGGUACUUGGAAAGUGGAAAAAAUCAGGAACAAUGUUAUGUUUAUGCCAUGUAUACAAGCUCUCUGAUGUCAUUUGUCAACAUAAUAACCAAACGUGAUAGUCCCACAGUUUAAAUCCACUUCUACCCACUGCACACUCAUCAUGGUUUUACAACUUCCACAAGCUUCGUACUCCUAAAGAAAUCAAUUUUUUCACACGACUCCUUCCCUUUUUAAUUAUAAUUUGAGACACUUUGUUAUAAUCAUUUGCUUAGAUUAAAACUUAGAUAAAUGGUGAAACAGUUAAUUUUUAGUACCAGCACUUCCAUGCUAACCAAAGUCUACUCAAAUAAGAUUUGCACAAGCAGGUAUACUCCCCCCAGACAGUUUACACAAGGCCAACACAUUGCAGUAGAAUUCAUGGCCUUGUUAAGAGCCUUGCUGACAUGAGCAUAACAAUGAAGCACGUGCUGUCCCGCCAUCGCCUGCAGGAACAGCAGCAGAGACCUGGCGGCAGUGCUCCUUGAACAGGGGCUCCGCUCAGGGCUGCUCCACUGAACUUCAGUGCACUGCGGCUCGCAGGAACCUGCUGCCCUAUAGGCAAGAUUCAAGAGCUCGCACCAAGUGAACAACACAUUGCAUGGACAAUGGUAUUACAAGAGAAACUGCUGUAAGCUAAUUAAACAGCGUCUGUUCA